rnacentral:tRNA from 1 species
GCGGGAAUAACUCAGUUGGUAGAGUACAACCUUGCCAAGGUUGAAGUCGCGAGUUCGAAUCUCGUUUCCCGCUCAA